rnacentral:rRNA from 1 species
CGCCCGUCGCUCCUACCGAUUGGGUGUGCUGGUGAAGCGUUCGGAUUGGCGGCCUCCGGCGGUUCGCCGCUGGGAGCAGCCGAGAAGUUCGCUAAACCCUCCCACCUAGAGGAAGGAGAAGUCGUAACAAGGUUUCC